rnacentral:rRNA from 1 species
GUGUCAGCCGCCGCGGUAAUACAGAGGUGGCAAGCGUUGCUCGGUGUCACUGGGCUUAAAGGGUGCGUAGGCGGCAUGGUACGGCUCGGGUGAAAUCCCUCGGCCCAACCGAGGAAUUGCAAGGGCGACGGCCAUGCUUGGCUGCAUCAGGGGAAGAUGGAACUCCCGGUGGAGCGGUGAAAUGCGUAGAUAUCGGGAGGAACGCCGGUGGCGAAAGCGAUCUUCUGGGGUGCAAGCGACGCUGAGGCACGAAAGCUAGGGGAGCAAACGGGAUUAGAUACCCCCGUAGUCC